UACGUAGGGGGCUAGCGUUGUCCGGAAUUAUUGGGCGUAAAGAGCGUGUAGGCGGUUCGGUAAGUCUGCCGUGAAAACCUGGGGCUCAACCCCGGGACUGCGUCCGAUACUUCCGAGCUGGAGGUAGGUAGGGGAGAUCGGAAGUUCCUGGUGUAGCGGUGAAAUGCGCAGAUAUCAGGAGGAACACCGGUGGCGAAGGCGGAUUCUGGCCUUACGUCGU
rnacentral:rRNA from 1 species